UCCCUCAUCGCGUUCACCAUUUCGGUCGUGUAUCCGAGCACGGGGGUGCCCGUGUGCGUCCAUCCCAGGCUCAGCGUCGCGUUCGGACACGCGGCGACGCACUUAGACACGAAGUCCGCGCCGGCGAUGGGUUCCCGUCCCCCGGGUCCCCGCACCACGUCCGCGUUGAGCCACAGCGGCACCGCGCGAAACUCGCCGCUCGAAUCAGAUCUACCGAACCCCGUCGCGCGGAGGAGGUCCACGCACGGCGCGACGCACUCGAUCUCCUUGAAGUCCAGCUUUAUCCCGACCCUGCGGCCCUCGCGAAGCGCGGCGACGAC
rnacentral:lncRNA from 1 species